rnacentral:misc_RNA from 1 species
UUGUUAGAACAAAAAAAAAAAAAAAAAAAUUUCCCACUGUCUAGUGCAUCUAGGUUAUAAUUUGCAAAAAUAUUUUUCGACAUGGGUGGGUGGUGGGGACUUAUAUGGGGUUAUAAUCUCAAUGUCCUAAUGUUAUUCUUUAAAAUAUUCACUGCAAUUAUGAAAGGUUCAAUUGAGCAUCGGAAUUUUAGGACUUCAAAUCACUGGGGGGGAGGGGGAUAGGAUAUUGGAACAACCGUUUAUGUUAUCAUGUUAUCCGUGAUCAAUUAUUUUUCAUGAUUUUUAUGUCAAAAAAA